GGAGCCUUUGUAUCUGGUGCAUAUUUCACGCUCACAGCACAACUCAACGGGCACUAGCCACAGGCAGGUGAGUGGCUACUGCAUCGACUGUGCAGCUGGGACACUGAGAGAUUGUGGAUGGCCAUGUGACCAGCUCCCUGCUCCCGCAGAAUGUGCUUACUAUUGCACAUGAGCAGGCCACGCUGCUGAGAAGACCUUUAGUUCUUUUGCAAGGUCUAAUAGUUUCUCUGAGUCCUACGAAGAUAGUCUGCGACUGAAGCAAGAAGCAGGGUGGUGUUCCAGACCUUCCCAACACUCAUUUUGCAUAUAAUUGCUGAGCACUGAUUACACUAGAAACCUGUUUGUGGCACAGAACUGGCACCGAACCCAGAUCUGUCACUAGUUAUGGGACUUGAAGUAAAUCACUUCUCACCCUCAGCCUCCUUAUCUGCACAACAACGUCUGCAGCCUCUCAACAGUUCCCAGCCUCGGGUUUAAAUGACAGCUGCCUGUGUUACAGACAUGCCCUGGCUCAACACUGAUGUCAGGAUCUCUGGGGCGGGGCUGAGUAUCGAUACUUCAAAUGUUGGUCAUGUGAUUCUAAAGUGCAGCUAGAAUUGAGAAUUAUGGCUCUAGUGCAAACCAAACCAUGAUGAUUUAUUUUUAAAAAAACAUGUAUUUUUAUUGACUUCAGAGAGAGAGAGAGAGAGAGAGAGAGAGAGAGAGAGAGAGA